GGAUAGAAUAUGAUAUCCUGUUGUAAAUAAAAAAAAUAGGAAAACGUUGAAGACUCCCGUUGGGAGUCUUCUUUCGCAUGACCUCAUCGGAAAGGGAUGUUGAAUCCGAAAAAGAUUCGACCUCUCCUCUAUCCUAUAAAACUUCUUCUCCCUCUCCCCCUCCUAAGCAACCCACAGUGACCACCGGCCUUCCUCCCUCACCUUUCUUCUUGAUUUCUCUUGUUGAAGCCAUGGCCUCCCAUCAGGGCCGGCCCUGGGGCAG
rnacentral:lncRNA from 1 species